UAUUUCACAAUGGGGGAAACCCUGACGCAGCGACGCCGCGCGAAGGAAGAAGUAUCUCGGUAUGUAAACUUCUAUCAGCAGGGAAGAAAAUGACGGUACCUGACUAAGAAGCCCCGGCUAACUACGUGCCAGCAGCCGCGGCACUACGUAGGGGGCAAGCGUUAUCCGGAUUUACUGGGUGUAAAGGGAGCGUAGACGGGAGAGCAAGUCUGAUGUGAAAGGCUGGGGCUUAACCCCAGGACUGCAUUGGAAGCUGUUGUUCUAGAGUGCCGGAGAGGUAAGCGGAAUUCCUAGUGUAGCGGUGAAAUGCGUAGAUAUUAGGAGGAACACCAGUGGCGAAGGCGGCUUACUGGACGGUAACUGACGUUGAGGCUCGAAAGCGUGGGGAGCAA
rnacentral:rRNA from 1 species